rnacentral:lncRNA from 1 species
UGAAGUUUAUCAGCAGGAUAGUCCAGGGCCAUUGCUGAUAUAAGAGUAUUCAUAACAUCUACACUAGGCUCUUUUAUGGGAUUUGUAGUGCAAAUAAACACAUCAAUGGAUGGAAGUUUAUCAUUUCCAGGCAGUCUUUCUGGAAAAACUUUUCUGGAAAUCGGGUUCCACUGAAAAGCCAGGCUCAAAACCCAAAGAAAAGAGAGUAUAAGCUCAGAGAGAAACACUAAAACUUGGAUGGAAGUUUAUCAUUUCCAGGCAGUCUUUCUGGAAAAACUUUUCUGGAAAUCGGGUUCCACUGAAAAGCCUGGCUCAAAACCCAAAGAAAAGAGAGUAUAAGCUCAGAGAGAAACACUAAAGCAUGCGGCAAAAAUGGUGUGUUUUUGUCCCUGAUUUUGAUAAUUUGGAAAAGAAAAUUUGUUCUAUAAUAAAUCAGGGCCAAAAGAGCAAAGCCUUGAGUGAAAAUAUGCAGCCUGUUUAUGAUUAGAUUAGUUUUUUUGACACGACGAAGAUUAAGAGGAAGUGUGUUCUCCAUCGUUUUUUGCUUUUUACUUUGUUCAUUACAAGGUUCAAUAUAUCUGAUUAUAUAGAAGAAUGUGCUUGAUGGACCCUUAAUUUAAUUCUCGCAUUGAUGAUUAGGCUAGUCUUGAACGUGAAUU